rnacentral:rRNA from 1 species
UACGUAGGGGGCAAGCGUUGUCCGGAUUUAUUGGGCGUAAAGAGCGUGUAGGCGGUUUGGUAGGUCCGUUGUGAAAACUCGAGGCUCAACCUCGAGACGCCGAUGGAAACCAUCAGACUAGAGUGCGGUAGGGGAGACUGGAAUUCCUGGUGUAGCGGUGAAAUGCGCAGAUAUCAGGAGGAACACCGGUGGCGAAGGCGGGUCUCUGGGCCGUAACUGACGCUGAGGAACGAAAGCGUGGGGAGCGAACAGG